CCUACGGGAGGCAGCAGUGGGGAAUUUUGGACAAUGGGCGCAAGCCUGAUCCAGCCAUGCCGCGUGCGGGAAGAAGGCCUUCGGGUUGUAAACCGCUUUUGUCAGGGAAGAAAAGGUUCUGGUUAAUACCUGGGACUCAUGACGGUACCUGAAGAAUAAGCACCGGCUAACUACGUGCCAGCAGCCGCGGUAAUACGUAGGGUGCAAGCGUUAAUCGGAAUUACUGGGCGUAAAGCGUGCGCAGGCGGUUAUGCAAGACAGAGGUGAAAUCCCCGGGCUCAACCUGGGAACUGCCUUUGUGACUGCAUAGCUAGAGUGCGGCAGAGGGGGAUGGAAUUCCGCGUGUAGCAGUGAAAUGCGUAGAUAUGCGGAGGAACACCGAUGGCGAAGGCAAUCCCCUGGGCCUGCACUGACGCUCAUGCACGAAAGCGUGGGGAGCAAACAGGAUUAGAUACCCUGGUAGUCCACGCCCUAAACGAUGUCAACUGGUUGUUGGGAGGGUUUCUUCUCAGUAACGUAGCUAACGCGUGAAGUUGACCGCCUGGGGAUCGGCCGCAAGGUUGAAACUCAAAGGUGACGCGNGNGAGAGCGACGACGACGACGAGGAGGAGG
rnacentral:rRNA from 1 species